rnacentral:rRNA from 1 species
GACGAACGCUGGCGGCGUGCUUAACACAUGCAAGUCGAACGGAAAGGCCCUGCUUUUGUGGGUUGCUUGAGUGGCGCACGGGUGAGUAACACGUGAGUAACCUGCCCUUGACUUUGGGAUAACUUCAGGAAACUGGGGCUAUUACCGGAUAUGAGCUCCUGCUGCAUGGUGGGGGUUGGAAAGUUUCGGCGGUUGUGGAUGGACUGGCGGCUUAUCAGCUUGUUGGUGGGGUAGUGGCUUACCAAGCCUUUGACGGGUAGCCUGCCUGAGAGGGGGACCGGGGACAUUGGGACUGAGAUACGGACCAGAAGGCUACGGGAGGCAGCAGUGGGGAAUAUGGCACAAUGAGCGGAAGCCUGAGGCAGCAACGCCGCGUGCGGGAUGACGGCCUUCGGGUUAUAAACCGAUGUCGCCGGUGACGAAGAGUGAGUGACGGUAAUGGGUAAAGAAGCAACGGCUAACUACGUG